AUUGAACGCUGGCGGCAUGCUUUACACAUGCAAGUCGAACGGCAGCACGGGCUUCGGCCUGGUGGCGAGUGGCGAACGGGUGAGUAAUAUAUCGGAACGUACCCAGAAGUGGGGGAUAACGUAGCGAAAGUUACGCUAAUACCGCAUACGAUCUAUGGAUGAAAGCAGGGGACCGCAAGGCCUUGUGCUCCUGGAGCGGCCGAUAUCUGAUUAGCUAGUUGGUGAGGUAAAGGCUCACCAAGGCGACGAUCAGUAGCUGGUCUGAGAGGACGACCAGCCACAAGGGAACUGAGACACGGUCCAGACUCCUACGGGAGGCAGCAGUGGGGAAUUUUGGACAAUGGGCGCAAGCCUGAUCCAGCAAUGCCGCGUGAGUGAAGAAGGCCUUCGGGUUGUAAAGCUCUUUUGUCAGGGAAGAAACGGUAGAGGCUAAUAUCCUUUGCUAAUGACGGUACCUGAAGAAUAAGCACCGGCUAACUACGU
rnacentral:rRNA from 1 species